GCCUACGGGGGGCAGCAGUAGGGAAUCUUCCACAAUGGGCGAAAGCCUGAUGGAGCAACGCCGCGUGGGUGAAGAAGGUCUUCGGAUCGUAAAACCCUGUUGUUAGAGAAGAAAGUGCGUGAGAGUAACUGUUCACGUUUCGACGGUAUCUAACCAGAAAGCCACGGCUAACUACGUGCCAGCAGCCGCGGUAAUACGUAGGUGGCAAGCGUUAUCCGGAGUUAUUGGGCGUAAAGGGAACGCAGGCGGUCUUUUAAGUCUGAUGUGAAAGCCUUCGGCUUAACCGGAGUAGUGCAUUGGAAACU
rnacentral:rRNA from 1 species